rnacentral:snRNA from 1 species
AGCUUUGCGCAGUGGCAGUAUCGUAGCCAAUGAGGUUUAUCCGAGGCGCGAUUAUUGCUAAUUAAAAUAUCAAGUUAUUUAAUGGAUGUCACUGUCAAGAAGAUAUUUACAUUUUCUUUUCUCUCCUAUGCGA